rnacentral:lncRNA from 1 species
AUCAACUCUUGUAUUGUGUCCUGGCUGAGUUCUUGUGAAGCUGUAGUCUGUAUUAACCAGUUGUUUCUGUGUUGGUGGAAUGGGUCCUCGUGGGCCUGGAGGACCAGGUUGGGGAGGCCCUGGCCCUGGUUCUUGGGGGCCUUGGUUUGGUGGCUUCUUCGGAUCCUGGUAAGUUGAAUCCACAGCUACUAACAGAAAUUUAAACUAAUGCAUUUUUGCCAGUGAAAACAUCAAUUUACUAUCAAGUCACCAUCUCCAACAGAAAAGGGAAAGCAAUUCAUUCAGUUAGAUGGUUAGUGGUUUAGUGGUCAACUCAAUCAAAUUGCAAUAUAUAAGUGGCGAAGCAUACAUUAGUCGAUCGUUUAUAUUUCUUCCUUUGAAGUUUUUUUCCCUGUUUGAAACAGAUAGUUUAUAUUCUCUGAAACUCAAGACGAAUACUUCUUGUGCAGCUUCUACCUCCUCUGUUGUUGCUGCCUGCUCCAAGACUGCUGCGCCCCAUUCUUCGGACCCCCGGGCCCAGGCGGCUCACCACCACCACCCUUCUGAUAGCAGCCCAGCAUAUCCACCACAACGAAUAAUGCAGGCCUAAAUGUUGGCUCAAGAGCUUACUUGUGUGAACAUCCUGGCUGUUGAGAGUACCCCUUGCUACAGUAGUACACACACUACUGAAAAUAAUUGUCCUGUAUCUCUUGGAGAUGACUGUAUGCAGUCUUACCUAGUUACGUGGCACUUAUAUUGUUUGUACUGACUAAAUGCAAUUAUCGGUUACAUUUUGUUGGUGCUAUUUCUAGAUGGUUUUUGUAGAUUCAGUUCUUUACAUAAUUUUUGCCGGGCAGGUGUUCUAAUUUUACCAUAUGCUGUUGGAGGAUAUAUGUGUUGAUUAGAUUAGAUCAUACCAUACCAUAAACUUAAUUUGACACAAUUUUACUUUACAUACACCUUUUUUUGUUUAGCAUGUACUGAGUAGAGGCGAGGGUUGCAUGUUUACCUUGCCGGCGCCUUCAAAGGAAAUGGUCGAUGGUGAUGGCCUUACUCAUAUUUCAGUAUGAACCAUUUCGCCUUCAUGUAAGGAGUGCAGUACUGUCUCUUUUGGUUUGUUCUGCUACUCCACUCUUGCAUAUUUCUUCUGGGAAUCUCUGCACAAAUAUCAGAGUAGCCAAUUUGCACAAUAUGUUUCAGCACAUAGGAAAAUAUUGACCAAAAUAUUUGGAACUGACAUAUUGACCAAAAUUCCUCCUUUUUUUGCCUUUACUUCUGAGAGCUUGAAUGAUGGAGAUAGAUAAUUUGCACUGACCCAUUUCAAAGGAAAUGGUCGAUGGUGUUAUAUGUUGCUUAUAAUUUUGCGACGGGUCUUACUCAUAUUUCACCAUGAAAACCAUUUCACCUUCAUAUAAGGAGUGCACUAUUGUUUCAGACCUUGUUGCCUUGUUGGCAUUAGAAUGCAGUUUUGUUGCUAAUAGUACAACAAAAUUUCUGUUUCUCAAUUACCAAUAUUUCUUCUAGGAAUCUGUGCACCAAUAUUAGAUUAGCCAACUUGCACAAUAUGUUUCAGUUCCACCCUAGGAACUUACAUAUUGACCAAAAUUCCUCCCUUUUUGCCUUUACUUUUGAGAGGGAGAAUGAUGGAGAUAGAUAAUUUGCACUGAAUCAAUC